ensembl:processed_transcript Gm26788 predicted gene, 26788
UCACUGAGGCUCGAGUCUUUCCUGCGCAGAUGAUCUUCCAGCGUCUGCCUGGUGAAGGUGUUUUCCUGCAGCUGGCUCCGGAAGUUGCGGAGGUUCUCCUCCACCGCGGCUCUCCGAGCCUCCGCCUCCCCUGUGAGCUGCCUCACCCGCUCCAGCUCCCGCUCGGCAGCUUCCUUCUCCCUCACGAUCAUCUCCAGUUCUCGGCGGUACUGCUUGGCCUCGCUCUCGGCCCUCAGCUUCUGCAGGGCAAUGUCUUCCACAUUCCUCUGUUGCUUUCUCAGUUCAUUUUCAGCGGCCUCCUUAACUUUCGGAAGCUCCUCCUCGACCCGGGAUUUCUGUUUCUUUAGCUCAGCCACCAUCGUUUCCAGUUCACUGAUCUUCCCUGGGAGUCCGGAUCUGCCGAAUUAACCUGUCUUCACAGCUCUCCAGGCGGAGCCGAAUGUUACGCACUUCUGAGAUGUAAAGAUUAUACACAGAUUCCUCUUGCUCCUCUGUGGAAGGACACAUUGGGUACCUCAAUCUGUCUGUAGUCACAGAUGGCUUUGAUGGGGAUGGACGUCUUAAGUGGGUUGUCAGGAUUCCUUGGCUUCAGCUGCACCACUGUCUUUGCUCGUCCCAUCAGACCUGCCACCACGCUCCGGUACUGCAGGAGCUCCUCCUUUUCCUCCUAGUUAGCAAACACAGAGGGAUUUUAAAAUUCAUGACUCGAACUUCCCAUCCCACUGGGACUCACACAAACCAUCAUCAUGGAACAAUGCCCUGACUGCUGGGGACACCUUCCACACCUCCCACCCCUCUCCAAGCCCUUGUUCUUCAUUUUGUCUGGUUAUUUUGUUUCCAUUACUACUAUGUAACAGUCUAUGGUUAUUUUGUUUCCUCCUUGCCAUUAUGACUAUGUAACAGUCUACAAGCAUUUUGUUUAUCUAAGGUAGACUGUGUUGCUACCCUUUAAUAUCUAGGCACCACAAGAGAGGGUGGUUCCUGCCUGCUUUGUCCAUUGUUAUAUCUCCAGAGGUGAAAACUGAUCACACACAUCACUGCUAAAGCAAUUUAAACAACAUCAUCAACAAGUACCCAAACGAAAGUCUCCAUUGAAUGAGACAGCUGUGUGUCUGAAGUACAAAUCUGUAUGUAACAUAGAACAUAGAAACAGAACAAAACACUAAUCUACCCUGUUUGUAUGGCAAAACCCAGAGUCUCUGCAUCCUUACCAUGGACUCCUGAACGAGGUCCUCCAGUUUGUGAGUGCUGCUGGAUCUGUCACAGCUGUACUUGCGCUGGAUGGCAUCUUUCAGAUUCCUUAGGUAAUCGGUGGCUUCUUUGGCAUCAUUGAAAAACUAAAGAGAGAAAACUUGGCAGCUGUAGUACACUAAAGGCCAGUAAAAUGCAGAAUUGUCAAAUCUGGUGCCCAGGCACUCUGUGCACCGCUGACAAGCCAAGGCAGAAUCAAAGCACAAAGCAACAGCAGCAACAUCCUUUCUGAAGCUGACACUAAUCUUUAACUUGGGUGGCUACAGUUGAAUACUAAUUAUGCAAAGUGUGCAUGUAUAUUAUGAAUUAUGUUUUGGCUUUAUAUUAUUUUGAUCAAAAGCCUGUUUUUCUUUAGGGUUCAAUCAAUCUUUUAAGUAGUGGUGGAAUUUCAAACAAUAUAUUAAAAUUUCU